UACGAAGGGGGCUAGCGUUGUUCGGAAUCACUGGGCGUAAAGCGCACGUAGGCGGAUCUUUAAGUCAGGGGUGAAAUCCCGAGGCUCAACCUCGGAACUGCCUUUGAUACUGGGGAUCUCGAGUCCGGGAGAGGUGAGUGGAACUGCGAGUGUAGAGGUGAAAUUCGUAGAUAUUCGCAAGAACACCAGUGGCGAAGGCGGCUCACUGGCCCGAUACUGACGCUGAGGCACGAAAGCUAGGGGAGCAAACGGG
rnacentral:rRNA from 1 species